rnacentral:tRNA from 1 species
GCCUGGGUGGCUCAGUUGGUUGAGCAUCUGACUUUAGCUCAGGUUAAGAUCUCAUGGCCAGUGAGCUCGAGCCCCACAUCAGGCU